rnacentral:rRNA from 1 species
CCCUUAGAUGUCCUGGGCCGCACGCGCGCUACACUGAGUGUCUGAGAUACGAGUCUGCCUGGUCCGGCAAGGUCUAGGUAAUCGCUAAAAGACACAUCAUGCUUGGGAUAGAUUAUUGCAAAUAUUAAUCUUGAAUGAGGAAUUCCUAGUAAGCGCAAGUCAACAGCUUGCGUUGAUUACGUCCCUGCCCUUUGUACACACCGCCCGUCGCUACUACUGAUUGGAUGUUUAAGCGAGGUUCUCGAACUGCUAGCGACUUAGCUUCGGUGAGGUCGCAGUGUGGGAAGUGAACCUAGCUUUGGUGUCUAGAGGAAGUAAAAGUCGUAACA